AUGAAAGCAGUGCUGUGUGUUAACGGGAAAUCCUAUGACCUAACAUCAACAACUGGAAAGGUCCAGACUUCUGAGAUCUAUGCACUGCCGUCCAACCAGGAGGAGACAGACAGCCACAUUGUCCUGUACCUCCACCAGGCUGUCAAAUGGGGGUACAAGUCCUGUGUGGUGAGGACGCCUGACACAGACAUUCUGAUGAUCCUCCUCUACCAUGCCAGCAAGAUCAACCUCUCAAUCUACCUUGACCAUGGCUCUGGCAAACAUCGCAUACUCAUUAAUGGGACAGAACUGUCUGAAUCACUGGGCCCUGACUACUGUAGCACUCUGCUGGGAUUCUAUGUCUUUACUGGGGAGGACUGUACCAGCACUUUUAAAGGCAAAGGAAAGGUGAAUCCCCUGAAGAAGCUACAGCAGAAUCCUAAACUCCACAAUGCUUUCAGGCAGCUUGGUACAGACUGGCUGGUCACAGAUGAGCUUCAACAGGAGAUUGAGAGCUUCACGUGCAUCAUGUAUGGCCAAGCAUGGAUGACAUCAGUUGACACAGUACGAGCCAAGAUGCUGAGAAAAAUGGCCGGUGCUGAUAAAGUCCUGGAAUCAAAAUUAAAAGUAGACCUGGAACGCCUGCCACCCCCCAAAGUCUGUCUCAUCCCACAUGUACAGAGAGCCAACUACAGAGUUGCCUGCUAUAAGAGAGCAGACGAGGCAAUAAUCGAGAGCCCCAAACCAUAUGAUCCAGGCAUGGGCUGGGAGAAGACAGGAGAGGAGGAGGUGUUGGAACCUGUUUGGACAAUUGGACCCAUUCUCCCUCCUUCUCUUCUUGAGGUACUGGCUCAGAGAGCAGAGUCAGAAGAGCAGCCAGCUGGUUCCAACUACAACAACUUGUCUGUGGGUGAAGAGGAUGGAGAGUAUGAACAUAAUGAUGAGGAUGAAGUGCUGGUAGAAAUAGACUUAGAAGAUCUCUUCAGUGAUGAUGAGUAGUUUAGGUCAACUUUUAUUAUUUAUUAUUUUUUGGCCAUAAAUAAAAAAAAAAAAAAACAGUCAAUAUGUUGUCAAAUGUCAAAAAUAACCAUUCCAUUAAAUUUCUGGGGUCAGAAUUGUAUUGAAAAAUGUGUCCAUUUGUCUCUGUGAGUUGUUUACAUCAAAAGUUAUGCCACUUUAUAUCAUAUUUAGAUUUUUCGGGUUUGGUGCAAAGGGUUAAAAAUAAAGCAUUUUGGACAUUAUUUCAGCUUGGUACCCAAUUUAAUCUUAAAAUAGACACUUGAAUGAUAAAGAAAUAACAGGUUGUGGGAAAAAAAAUGACCCUAUGUGCUUGAGAAAACGAAAAAAUAGUUGAUCCUCUACACAUCUUUGGCCAUUUUUUGCUAUUUUUGUCCAGGAAUAAGGUCAAUAUGUUGUCAAAUGUCAAAAAUAACCAUUCCAUUAAAUUCCUGGGGUCAGAAUUGUAUGUGAAAAUGUGUUCAUUUGUCUCUGUAUGUUGUUUACUUCUAAUGUUAUGCCACUUUCUAUAUAAUUUUUUGAUUUUUCGGGUUCCGGUCGGGUGCAGCAAAGGGUUACUAAAGAACCCUUUGGGACAUUAUUUCAGCUUGGUACCUGGCAGAUUCUGAAAAUAGACACUUUAAGGAUUUUAAAAAAUCAGGUGGGAUAAAAAAGCCGGGGGGUGUGCGUGGACCCCUAUUUCCAUUUAGACCACAUCUGAUUCAUUCGAAUACACUGAAUCAUUCAGGAACAGACAUCACUGUGUUUGCAGAGAUGCAAAUGUUCUGCUGUGAUUCUGUUUGGAACUGUUUUCACUGGUGUAAUAGAGCAACGGUCAGUAUUUACAAUAUUGUGUCUAAAACCACACUUAAUAUUAACUUAAUUAGCCUUUAAAAAAAUAAUUUACUAUUUAGAUAAAAUCUAAAAGUGUCAAAUAAAUGUCUGACUCAAGGCUGUGUCAGUAGGAGGACAUGGUAUUUUAAACUCUGACAAAACUGGACAGAUGGCCACCCUACAGUAGGUUGGCAUUAUGUACUGUUAGUGCAUACAAGCCCUGAAUCUAAACUUUUUUCUUCCGGUUUUAUUCCAAAAUCUGCUACACUCAGGAACCUUUAAAGAAACAAAAAGAGGGGUAUGACUCACUCUCUGGAUUAAGUUUCCAUCAUGAUUCAUUCAUAUCAGAAUUCAGGGUAUGGCAUAAGAGCACAGUGUCAGUAUGCUUCCUUUUUUCUGCCUUUAUUUAUUCCUGUUUACUUGCUGACUUGCUCAUUCAAUUUCUCACUCCCCCUCUCCAGCAGGGUUAAGAGCAUUGAACCGUACACAUUCAUAACACAAAUAUGCUAAAUGUUAAAUGAAUAUCCAGUUUGUUGCAAAGCCUGAAAUAGAAAGCUCAGAACAAAAUACAAACCCAUCCAGAGGGCCUGCUCUUUGUCUCUCUCGCACAUGCGCGCGCGCACACACACACACACACACACACAGAGCCCCUGUGGGAUCCCCAGUCAGACAAACAAUGAUAAAGUAGUGCUCUUAUGUCUUUGACACUCUGAGGAGAUGCAGACCUCAAAACGCCUAAGUAAUAAACGCUGUCUGACUGCCACACACCCCGUGUACACAGAUAUCAAAUGUAAUGUUAGUGAUGGCUCAGUGUGUUUCUCAAAGAAUAUUGUUUAUUAAGGUAUCACAUGUUUUCCCCAGUGCCAUUGGAAAGGGUCAGCGUAAGCUGAAAUCAAGUAAAUGGGCCACUUUUGUCACUGAGAUGAAGUGUCCAGAAUGCACCCUAAUACUAACCCUCAAAUAUGAACCGUUUUGACAUCUGAGGUCACCGCUGGAAAAGACAACCCAUGGUCCAGAUGACCAAUCUUUCUUAUCUGACCAUAAUAAAACAACUGGGUUUCAUCUGGGUCGAGGCCUCCGAAGUAAAAGGGCACAUGAGGAGAGCCAAAAGUUUGAUUGUGAGCGAGACCCGCGAAAGAACCUAAGGGAGAAUGGAUGAGUGGAUGGGUGGGGGUGCGGUUGCCGAAAGGUCAAGCAUGUAAUAUAAGAGCAGGAUCUCGGCCGUCUCCGUCAGACAAUAGCCUCCCGCAGCAGACACUCUGCUCUUCUCUCUCUUCUCUUAAUUACAGUCAUAUCACCCCUCUGCUGCCGCCUGUCCUUAACAUAUUCCUCUUUAUUUGGAGUCCUUUUUUCUCAGCUAAUGGAAUGUCAGCUCUCUGCUAUUCCCUCUCUUCAUCUCACGCCGAUCAAAGUGACCUCUGCCUCUCUGCCGGUGUGCAAAUCAAUACGCGCACUGACAGAAAACCACACAAUAUAUAAUAAAUGACAAUCUGCGCACGCACGCACACAGGCCAUCCCGUGGCAUAUCUGACAAAAGCCUUUCAUAGCAGUCAUUCUGGCACAAUGGCAGUGAGUUAUGUUUAAAGGAGGACUGGCGGAGCGCUCGGCUCUGCGCAGGUGUGGAUAUUACAGGGCAGGGUGGGUUUAAAGCAUCUCUCCUCGAUGUGUAAGAACGCCCGUCCCAGCCCGGGGCUGACAGCACCAAUGCCAUUACAGGUGUAGCUGUUUAUUGUGGUUGUCUUGCUGGGAGAGGUUCUAUCCAAAGCAAUUUUCCUCUUAAGGGGGCAAAUUGCUGGCGGAAAAUUGUAUGUGCUGUCGCUCAGCCAUGAUUGGCAGGGAGGCCGAGUUUGGCAACAGCGAAUAAAGGAGAAUGAAAGGAUUUCAUACUCGGAGCCGAGAGCGAGUGAGCGAGGGAGGGACGGAUGGAAGGAGGAAUGAGAAAAAGCACAGUGCAUAUUAAAAUGUGUUGUGAAAAACGAGUGUGAAAUUUCACACAAUUCUGAAAACGACUGCUGUUCUUCCAGGUGGAGAGAGAGAAGCCAGGUGUUUGUGAAGACCUCAUAGAACAAGUAAAUCUCUCUCUCUAUCUUCUUCCUCUCUCUUUUUUUUCCAUCAGUGUGCGCUAGCUUUGUAAAGGAUCAGGAGGAUUUGUAACAGCUGGCAUUCUUCCAGUCACUUGAAACAGAGUGAGUGUGGGGGGGGGGUAGUGAAUUGAUGGAGAGAACGACAGACGCUUGCAUUCUGCAAACUUUGAUAGUAGUUAUUACCUACAGCCACUCUUGGAGAAAUAAAGGAGUGAAGUGCUGUGAACUUAAGUUGACUAAACUCUUUAGUUUUUGUUUCUAUCAAAGCCUCUAUGAGUAUUCUGUCUGUUUUUUUUUUCUGCUAUUAAACAAAUAUGAAACACUCUUUGAUCCUUCCUCCCUUUAUUCCUGAACAAUACUUUUAUUCUUUUAUUCAUUCUUUUCCUUUUUUCCUUUCCAGUCUUUUCUCUUUCCAACUUCCUUGCCUCUUGACUUUUUCCUUUUCCUAUCCAUGCUUCUGUUUGCUUUCCUUCCUUCCUUACUGUCCAUACGUCUUUCUUUCUCUCUCUCUCUCAUUUCUCUCCUGCUCUAUCUCUCCCUCCCUCUGCAGAUGGCAGUUUCAGCCUCAUCCAUUAACUGUUAUUGUUUUUCCUGAACAUGACAUUGAUUCAAUUUAACACCAAUCAAUUUCAAACGCUUCUGACAUUCAGAUCUGACCUUAAGGCAAACGACUCAUGAACUAUGAUCAGAAUUAAACUUUUGCUAACGAGGUGAUCUCUCAGCCUUGCCCAACAGCAAUGUUCGCUAAAAAUUAGAUCAAUUAUUAUAAGGCAAACAGACCCUAAGUUGAUUACCCUGCCCUCACUAAUUUGUGUAAUUAAUAACCAGCCCUGGACCAGAAUAAGAAGUUUAUUAAUCCAUAUCUACAAGCCGGUAAUGAAAUUGCAUGGGCAGGUCAUCCAUUCAGAUGGUAAUGUCAUAAUCAAUGCCGCCACACCAUACAUGUUAAUGAGCAUUGUUAUGAAUUGUUACAGUUAGAGGUGUGUGUGUGGCGAUGUCGGCCUCUUUGUGUUGUUAUGUAUGGCAAUCAGACGCGUGAAAAUGGCAAAUCUAAUUAGGAAUUCCGACUGGAGCGGCUGGGAACACUGAGAGCAGUAGACGGUAUCGGAGCUGACAGCUGCCAGCCGGAACGCCGAGUGUCGGAACAAAACCAGCGUUCUGCGCCACAACGGGAAUGACAGGAAAAAAGGAUGUAUCACAAACGAAUAAUUGCACUCUGCAUGGCCUCUUGCCAUAUAGCACAAUAGAACUGCCAGCACUGGAAGAAGAUGCUAUUGUGUGUGUACAAGCACUCUUUAUGAGUUUUACCUCUGAGUCGAGGGGAUAGACUCGUGUCAUCUGCAUGGCGAUGAGGUUCCUGCUCUCUGAUUCUGUCUUCCUCUGCAGGCCCUGGGUGGUCCUCCGCUUCUGCAUGCGAGAUACUGCACUGCAUUCAUCUGCUAAAUUAAUACAUGUAAAUUCACACGUGUAGUCUCAUACAGUUCAUAGGGAUCAUACAUAGAGGAUUCACACUAAUUCAUAACAUAAGGAGGAAUGUGUUUCCCUAAGUUAUGAUUUAGUCUGUCGUAAAGUUGUAGACAGGGGUCUUGAUGUUCUACCAGGAGAGACAUCUGCCACGUUGGAGCCUUUGGGUAUUUUUACAAUUGAAUUAAAUGUAAUAUAAACAUACAUAUACAUACAUUAAUAUUCAAAAGUUUGGAGUCUGUACAUUUUUAAAUGUUUUGAAAGAGGUUUUAAGAUGUCUUAU
ensembl:lncRNA